UACCAGCACCCCGAGUGGUCGGGACGUUUAUUGGGCCUAAAGCAUCCGUAGCCGGUUCUACAAGUCUUCCGUUAAAUCCACCUGCUUAACAGAUGGGCUGCGGAAGAUACUAUGGAGCUAGGAGGCGGGAGAGGCAAGCGGUACUCGAUGGGUAGGGGUAAAAAUCCGUUGAUCCAUUGAAGACCACCAGUGGCGAAGGCGGCUUGCCAGAACGCGCUCGACGGUGAGGGAUGAAAGCUGGGGGGAGCAAACCGG
rnacentral:rRNA from 1 species